rnacentral:tRNA from 1 species
GCAAACUUGGCCGAGAGGUCUAAGGCGCCAGAUUUAAGAGAGAUAAUCUCAAAAUCCCUGGUCACGAGAGUGGCGUGGGUUCGAACCCCACAGUUUGCA